rnacentral:rRNA from 1 species
AAUGAACGUUGGCGGCGUGGAUUAGGCAUGCAAGUCGAGCGAGAACCCAGCAAUGGGGGACAGCGGCGAAAGGGACAGUAAUGUGUAGAUUAUCUGCCCUCGGGUCCGGGAUAGCUGCGGGAAACUGCAGGUAAUACCGGAUAACAUCUCCGGAUCAAAGGUGUGAUUCCGCCCGAGGAUGAGUCUGCAUCCUAUUAGCUUGUUGGUGGGGUAAUGGCCUACCAAGGCUUUGAUGGGUAGCGGGUGUGAGAGCACGACCCGCGUCAUUGGGACUGAGACACUGCCCAGACACCUACGGGUGGCUGCAGUCGAGAAUCUUCGGCAAUGGGCGCAAGCCUGACCGAGCGACGCCGCGUGUGGGAUGAAGGCCUUCGGGUUGUAACCACUGUCAGAGGGAUGAAAUGCAGGUGGGUUCGUCCCACUUGUUUGACAUAGCCUCAGAGGAAGGACGGGCUAAGUUCGUGCCAGCAGCCGCGGUAAU